AUGAGUUUGAUUGGAAGGGGUGCUGGUUGUGCAAAUGGUAUUUCGUCGCUAAAUGUUAACAAUUUGAUCAUGCAUUCUUGCCGUGACAUCAAUGCCGAGCAUGUUGCGCCAAAUUCCCCACUACCGUGCAACAUGGGUGUGCCUCCCAAUGUUGAACCAUGUAGAGCUUCCGAUGGAGACAAUAUUUCAUGCAGCCCGACUCCAGCGUGGUGCGAUAUGCAAUCGCAGUCAGUCAUGGGCAAUGAGAUUGUUACACAGGAUUGUAUGGUCUCACAACAGUUAAGGAAUGAGGAGAUAAGGCAGGUAGAGAAACAGAAUUUUUUUCCAAAGAAAGUUGAUGCUCAUGAGAGGAAGGAGCGGUUGAGGCUCCCCAAAGGUGUAGUUGAUUCCUCAAAUGUCACCAGCAAUUCUCAUGUUCCAGAUGCAUGUGCUGGAGUCUGUGUGCAAGUUGGCACAUCACUGGAUGUCUCUACUAGUCUUAAUGUAACUGCAAACGUGGGUUCGGUGAGUGAAGGCGGCCCUGUAGUAUAUUCUAGCCAAGGGAAGCACAGGGUAGUUGUUGCAAAGAUUAAGCAUGGACUUCGUGGCACCCAUCCCGCCAGUGGCAUAGCCAGUAAGAUUGUUGAUCCAUCUUCGCAUUGGAGUCCACGCAUUGCCAGUGGUCCAGUGGUUGAUCGUUUCUAUCCUAGUGUUAAGCUUGAUGGAAAGCAUGUUUCUUUCAAGGGUUCACAGGCUGGAGGUGGUUGUCGAGGUCCUUCUGUUGAUGGCAUUGGGCUCGACGGGAAUAAUGUUGUUUCUAGGAAGCGUCGGCCCAAGGUUGCUGGGAGUGGACCAAAGAAGAAGCCGGCAAAGUCCGCGGCGUCAAAUGCUGGUGCUUGCGAUAGGAUUAAUGUAACUGUUCGCUGUUCUUUGGGAGAGGUUUCUGAGGCAGUUGCUCUGCUUGAGACAUGA
rnacentral:rRNA from 1 species